GAUGAGCGCUGACAGAAUGCUUAACACAUGCAAGUCAACUUGAACUUCGGUUUGGGUGGCGGACGGGUGAGUAACGCGUAAAGAACUUGCCUCACAGAUAGGGACAACAUUUGGAAACGAAUGCUAAUACCUGAUAUUAUGAUUUUAGGGCAUCCUAGGAUUAUGAAAGCUAUAUGCACUGUGAGAGAGCUUUGCGUCCCAUUAGCUAGUUGGAGAGGUAACGGCUCACCAAGGCGAUGAUGGGUAGCCGGCCUGAGAGGGUGAUCGGCCACAAGGGGACUGAGACACGGCCCUUACUCCUACGGGAGGCAGCAGUGGGGAAUAUUGGACAAUGGACCAAGAGUCUGAUCCAGCAAUUCUGUGUGCACGAUGAAGUUUUUCGGAAUGUAAAGUGCUUUCAGUUGGGAAGAAAAAAAUGACGGUACCAACAGAAGAAGUGACGGCUAAAUACGUGCCAGCAGCCGCGGUAAUACGUAUGUCACAAGCGUUAUCCGGAUUUAUUGGGCGUAAAGCGCGUCUAGGUGGUUAUGUAAGUCUGAUGUGAAAAUGCAGGGCUCAACUCUGUAUUGCGUUGGAAACUGUGUAACUAGAGUACUGGAGAGGUAAGCGGAACUACAAGUGUAGAGGUGAAAUUCGUAGAUAUUUGUAGGAAUGCCGAUGGGGAAGCCAGCUUACUGGACAGAUACUGACGCUGAAGCGCGAAAGCGUGGGUAGCAAACAGG
rnacentral:rRNA from 1 species